CCUUAGAGUUUGAUCCUGGCUCAGGAUGAACGCUAGCUACAGGCUUAACACAUGCAAGUCGAGGGGAAACGAUAGAGAAAGCUUGCUUUUUCUAGGCGUCGACCGGCGCACGGGUGAGUAACGCGUAUCCAACCUGCCCAUCACUUGGGGAUAACCUUGCGAAAGUAAGACUAAUACCCAAUGAGGUCUCUAGAAGACAUCUGAAAGAGAUUAAAGAUUUAUCGGUGAUGGAUGGGGAUGCGUCUGAUUAGCUUGUUGGCGGGGUAACGGCCCACCAAGGCGACGAUCAGUAGGGGUUCUGAGAGGAAGGUCCCCCACAUUGGAACUGAGACACGGUCCAAACUCCUACGGGAGGCAGCAGUGAGGAAUAUUGGUCAAUGGGCGAGAGCCUGAACCAGCCAAGUAGCGUGCAGGAUGACGGCCCUAUGGGUUGUAAACUGCUUUUAUAAGGGAAUAAAGUGGGAGUCGUGACUCCUUUUGCAUGUACCUUAUGAAUAAGGACCGGCUAAUUCCGUGCCAGCAGCCGCGGCAAUACGGAAGGUCCGGGCGUUAUCCGGAUUUAUUGGGUUUAAAGGGAGCGUAGGCCGGAGAUUAAGCGUGUUGUGAAAUGUAGACGCUCAACGUCUGCACUGCAGCGCGAACUGGUUUCCUUGAGUACGCACAAAGUGGGCGGAAUUCGUGGUGUAGCGGUGAAAUGCUUAGAUAUCACGAAGAACUCCGAUUGCGAAGGCAGCUCACUGGAGCGCAACUGACGCUGAAGCUCGAAAGUGCGGGUAUCGAACAGGAUUAGAUACCCUGGUAGUCCGCACGGUAAACGAUGGAUGCCCGCUGUUGGUCUGAAUAGGUCAGCGGCCAAGCGAAAGCAUUAAGCAUCCCACCUGGGGAGUACGCCGGCAACGG
rnacentral:rRNA from 1 species